rnacentral:rRNA from 1 species
UGCGAGUCAUUGUAGUAAUACAAGGCAGACGGCUCAGUAACGCGUAGUCAACCUAACCUAUGGACGGGAAUAACCUCGGGAAACUGAGUAUAAUGCCCGAUAGAACAUUAUACCUGGAAUGGUUUAUGUUCCAAAUGAUUUAUCGCCGUAGGAUGGGACUGCGGCCUAUCAGUUUGUUGGUGAGGUAAUGGCCCACCAAGACUAUUACAGGUACGGGCUCUGAGAGGAGUAGCCCGGAGAUGGGUACUGAGACACGGACCCAGGCCCUAUGGGGCGCAGCAGGCGAGAAAACUUUGCAAUGUGCGAAAGCACGACAAGGUUAAUCCGAGUGGUUUCUGCUAAAGGAACCUUUUGUCGGUCCUAGAAACACCGAUGAAUAAGGGGUGGGCAAGUUCUGGUGUCAGCCGCCGCGGUAAAACCAGCACCUCAAGUGGUCAGGAUGAUUAUUGGGCCUAAAGCAUCCGUAGCCGGCUCUGUAAGUUUUCGGUUAAAUCUGUACGCUUAACGUACAGGCUGCCGGGAAUACUGCAGAGCUAGGGAGUGGGAGAGGUAGACGGUACUCGGUAGGAAGGGGUAAAAUCCUUUGAUCUAUUGAUGACCACCUGUGGCGAAGGCGGUCUACCAGAACACGUCCGACGGUGAGGGAUGAAAGCUGGGGGAGCAAACCGGAUUAGAUACCCGGGUAGUCCCAGCUGUAAACUAUGCAAACUCAGUGAUGCAUUGGCUUGUGGCCAAUGCAGUGCUGCAGGGAGCCGUUAAGUUUGCCGCCUGGAAGUACGUACGCAAGUAUGAA